rnacentral:pre_miRNA from 1 species
AAGGUCGACCUCAUCGGCCAAUGGCGAGGCCUCGCCAAAUCUAGUGAGAUCGGCCUCGCCGUCGCUAGGUGAGGCCUCGCUA